CAGUGCACUACCCAGAGAACUAAAUAAGGCCGGGAUGGGAUCUUGAAAGCACUCGAUGCCAGCUGGGUUCUGCCAACCUCUGGUCCUGCCAAACGGAAUCCCCUAAGAGCUCUUAUCUGUGCAGUACUCUUACUGGGGCCACCCAACUUCCAGCGCCCUUCACUUCUUUCAGAAAGUCAUGUGCUGUCUCAACUUCAUUUCCCAACGCGAGGUUACAUUUAUUCUGUAGCCAUAGAGCUCCUGUAGGCGUAUUUGCCCGUCCCCCAUCAUUUCACACCAAAGUAUCAUCAAACUCUGCUUAUUUGCACUUUCAGCCUGUGCCUUCUCACCAGGAAGAGAGCACGGACAGAGCUGGAGCUGUGUAUUUGCUCAGGCUGCACCAUUUAAGUCACGAUCACCCAGGCUGCCCAUAGCUUUCUGAUGUCCUUCCCACAGGUGCUCCCCAGCUGCUGGCUGCAGCGCACAGCACCAGGGAUGGAGGUUUGCCCCGCACACAGCAGGUGAGCGUGGGGCAGUGAGGUCACAGUGCUCGCUCCUGGAGGAACCCAACCCAGCAGAGCUCCUGCUCCUGCACGUGGCACUCAGGCUCGGGGAUCUUCGCAGCCUUUUCCAGCAGAACUCAGCAGAUUGGUAGAGGGACGGGAAGGACAGAACACACACAGCCCAGCUGCACCAGUCUUCCCACAGCUGUCGAUUUUUAUCACAAAAGGGCAGUCACUAUGUGUUAUGAAAGCCCAGAAAAUACAGUGUUGGUAGGAAACUGUUGAGCAUCACGUGGCAGAAUCUGUGGAGUCCAUAACUACUAAGAGUGAAUUAUGCCUCGUUUCAGUGGCUGCCAACAUGCAGACUACUGAGUCUGCUGAAAUACUUUCUAAUCGAAUUAAAGCACGGGAGACACCUGUGACAUCAUCAACAACAGCACAACGUAUGCUGAACAUACCAAACGUAGACGUGGAUACCAUAAGAACUGUGGUCUUCGAUUAAGUCCAGAACCGCACAUUCUACAUGUCAGCUAUUUAUAUUUCAACAAACAAUGCAUUUCAUAGCCCCAUCCUUUGAAAGCCUCCAGGAGUCGCAGCCGGCACAAAGCACAGCGCAGCAACAGUUACAUCUGAGCUCACACAGGAAAGAGAGCACCGGCUUUUCUCAUGUCCAACGGAUGGAUGUGGAGGGAAGUCAACAGUGCCGAGUGCUGAAGGCACAGACUGCAGCAGCACGAGGGGUCAGCGAUGAGUUUGACCCGCUGUGGCCACCGCUCUGCAAUUUAAUUAACAUUUCCAUUCUAAAGAAGCCCAACCCAUUUGCAAGUACUAAGUAACAUGGUAAAUAUGGAACAAAUUAUCGGCAACAGCAGGGGACAUUUAAAAUAUGCAUCUUGAGUUCAGAGCCACUCAGAAACCUGCGGUGAUGCAGUCACUCAAACACAGCCAUCCUUAU
rnacentral:lncRNA from 1 species